rnacentral:lncRNA from 1 species
ACCUGCAUAGAAAAAUUGUAAGCAACAAAAUACAAGGGGCCUCACCACAGUUCAGAGAAAGAAAGCCUGUAUCUGUAUUAGUGGGAGGCCACUAACAUACCAGUCACUUUAUAUCUAAUUACACCUACCUACUGUUCCAUAUUAUUAUCUCAAUAAUCUCUACUGAUCCUGGUCAGAAUGGGGUUGAAGUCCCAAAUUCAAGAAUUUGUUAAGGAAACUUGAGUAAGGCAUUGUAACAGAGAUGCCCACAAUGACCACGACUUGGAAAUUUUAUCAAAAUGAAAUCUAUCUACAGUACUCUAAUCAGCACCCUUCAAUCAAACGCUUUGCAGGCCACAUUGUCGUUUUCAAUCUCCUUUAGUUAUAUUCCAACAACAUUAUCAAGAAUAAAAGCCAACAACAUUAUCAAGAAUAAAAAACUUUGUAAAGUUCCCAAAAUUCUAUAAACUGAUCCUGAAUCUUAGGUUAAAGCAAUAAGGAUAUCCUUUCUUUUACAGCUUAUUUGGUUCAUUCAUAAUCUCUCUCAACUACAAAAUGAUCACAAACAUGCAUAGUAUUUCUAAAAGACAUCGGACUUCAAAUUCAUUUGUAAUCCAUCAAAAUAGCAGAGCCCAGAUUUAAAGUCAUUUGAAAGCAUAUUCUUUCCUUUGUCAUUAUUUCCAAGAACCAGAUAAGAGCAAUAAUGUAUGAGUUUUGGCUGGUACUGCCAAACGGGCUAUUUUAUAGAGAAGUGAAGAUUUAUUAUCUGUUCAAGAAAUAUUAUAAUGGUGGAGAAUCAACAGACUAAUGUGACAACUCCUAGAAUUCACCCUCUCGGAAAACUACCCACAUGAAGGAUUGACUGCACUCUAAAUAAUUAAUGGAAAAAAAAAAGAGAAAAAGAUAAAGGUCAAUAUCAAAGACACCAAAAAACUGAAAAUUUAUUUGAAAACUCAAACCAAAACCUCAUCAAAUCUUUGUAAGAAUUACUUGGCAUGGUGCAAACAAAAACAUUUAAAAUCAUAAUUAGCAAACAACAGUAAGAGCAUAUAAUGCUAAAUGCCUCCCCACCACUUAGGCCAAGUACAUAAUUACUAAAAUCUCCUCUCUGCUGUGUGAGACAGAAACCCAUUACAACUAGGGGACAUUCGCCAAAGUCCCCCAUAGCAAAAUGCAACGAUAUAUAUUCAUAGAAGAUGAUCAUCAAAUAUGGACCUAAACAAGCUCCAAACCACUGACAUUUUCAUCCUUCUUGAAGAAGAAUAAGGUUGUCCAAUCCGACAAAUUUUACCCAAAACCACCAGUCCAAAGUGUUGCAUUUUCUAAAUGAGUAAAAAAAUAGCUAAAUUCUUCACCAAAGAAACUAGAUUUGCAGUAUCUUGUUCAAAGAAAAAAUGAAAGAAUAGCCACGCGGAUAAUCAAGAGAAGAGGGCUAGCAUUGGAAUUCGGGAUGAUAGAAGAACUACUUCAGAUCUUGUUGAAAUUAUCCGCGAAGAAAAAGCAGAAUAUAGCAGAACAAUCAACCACCCCUUCCGGUGACCAGAUCAGAAAAGCGAGAGCAAAAAUUGUAUCCACUAAACCGAUCCUACUCGAGCAACAACGGUAAAAGAAAGAAAAACAAGAUUCCCAGCUCCCACUCAUUUUCCUGAGCUUUCUC